CUCAGGAUGAACGCUGGCGGCGUGCCUAAUACAUGCAAGUCGAGCGAACGGACGAGAAGCUUGCUUCUCUGAUGUUAGCGGCGGACGGGUGAGUAACACGUGGAUAACCUACCUAUAAGACUGGGAUAACUUCGGGAAACCGUAGCUAAUACCGGAUAAUAUUUUGAACCGCAUGGUUCAAAAGUGAAAGACGGUCUUGCUGUCACUUAUAGAUGGAUCCGCGCUGCAUUAGCUAGUUGGUAAGGUAACGGCUUACCAAGGCAACGAUGCAUAGCCGACCUGAGA
rnacentral:rRNA from 1 species